GAUUACAAUACAAACCAACCGCAAAGGAAGGCAACGGCCGCCAGGCUCACCGCCUCACCCGCCCUCCCCGACGCCAUCCUCAACCCUGCUCGCACCACGCCGCCCCCUCGCUUCCUCUUACCCUACCCUGGGAGAUCCCUUCUUUGCUUCUCCAUCGAAACCCCAAUCUUAGCUCGCUGCCCUCUGCCACGGGGUUCUCCACCCAAGCCCAGCGUGAUUUCGCCCUGUCCAUUGGACGACUUCGCUCGCCGUAGGUCAUUCCAACCUACCUAUUAAUUGACGAGAAAUAGGGUCGGUUUCUUAGCUGGUGAUUUCUGCUCCGCCGUUAAAGAUCGUGGAGUUUCCUGACCCAGGCUUGAUUUGAGGGCGAAGAACAAGCGUAUCUUAGAUGAUAAUUUGAAGACAUUGGUUGAGAAGAUGUUUGAAAUAUCCACCAGAGCUUCUGUCACAGUAAAAUUGGUCUAUGACAACUGGAGUUUGGACCUCUGAUACUCUUAUGUUUGAGAAUUUUAUACUCUGGACGGAGCCCGAUCCACCCUGUGAUAAUUUAAUAGGUGAAGAUAAAAAUUAUUGGGAAGAAUCUGGUCUCCCACCAGCGGAUAAAACUUAAUUUUUUUGGUCACUAUUGUAUAUUGGAUAAACAUCUAGUGAGAUGAUGCCUAAGACUAAGAACACUGGAACUUGCAUUCUAAGCUGUUUUAAGAACAGGGAAGGCCUAAAAAUGUAUUAAAAAAAUGAAGUCAAGUUGGUCCCCAUGAUCAUUUUGACUCUUCGUAUGAGGGUCAACAAUCACCAGAAUAAUCAUUUUGUAUGUCAUCAAACAGGAAAUUCCUGAAUGGCGUAUAGGCUAUACCGCAGCUCAUGUUGGUAUGAUGAAUCAUAACAUCUCUAGAAUUUUGAAGAUGUAUGCCAUCUGUGUUAAGGCUGCUUCCUGGUGAAUUGAUUGUCAUGUUGAAGACCUGGACAGCUUCACAAUUGUCAAACUUGAGGUGGCACUGUGGACUGUUCUGGAUUGUGAUGCCAGUUACUGUGACAUUGUAACUCCCAUAGAAUCUCAGAGCCUGCAGAACAGAAUUAGAGAAGAAAAAAUAUGCAAAGUAUUGUUAAUCAUGUCUUGAUAUUGCUUUAUUGUUAGUGUAGCUGCAAGGCAAGAAAUCUUACAGUUGGCUUGAUCUGCGGCAGUUUCAUACUGAGCUCAGCAUUUAUCUGUCAAAGGUUUCACCAUUAGGAAUAUCUGAUGAAUAUUAUUAUUAUUAUUAGAAUGGGAUAUGAGUCUGAAGGAUGAAAGUCAGGAGUUUUUGUUGAAUAUAUAUUGUGAGAUGGUACUUAUUCCUCAAGGUGACAAGAAUUACUUUAACAAAAAAUGAACCUGGAUUGGUUUUUCUUCUCUGGUAAGCAGAUAAGAAUUCUAGAAAUUGGGAACGGUGGGCAGAUCUAUUCAUAUAUUUAUGAUGGAGAUAGAUGUUUAUGUGGCUUACUGGAUCAACAUCAGACUCCAUAGUUGUCCACCAUACACUGCCUUGCCCUUCUAUUGUUCCACUGCCUUGAAUUGAUAUUCCUUGCAGCUUUGAGAACUCAAUCCACCACAGUAGCCCAGAACCCCACCUUUUGGCAUCAGUUGGAGCAAUGAUCAUUCCAUCCAGCUGCAAGAGAGUUCAGCUGCAAGAGAGUUCAGUUCUACAGAGCAUAUCAGUUUUCUCCUUUUGUUUGGACCCUGCUGGUAAACUUAGUUAAACCUUUUCUUUGGAGGAAGGAAUAACUUAAAUUAAA